ACUACUUCUCAAAGGGCACCCUUUAACUCUAUGGAGUCUUGGGCCACAACGGCCAAUAUUUGGUUUUUGCAAAUCAUUUAGGUUUUUUGGUUAUUUCGUUUUUUGAUGCUGAUAGCAAAAUCUGUUUUUCCGUUUUUGGUUUAAAACGAAAAAAGGAAAAGGGGGCACUGUUUUUGUUUUUUCCUAUUUUCGUUUGGACAGAAAAAAGAAUUAUACUUUGGCACCCGGACCGGUAUUUGCAACAUAUACUGCAGCUCGCCAUUCAGGGACCUCACUUGUGGGAAGCUGUCGUGUCAUCUGUACUAAGCAUUUUUGACAGAUGACAUCAAUCAGUAUUAAAAUCACAUGGCAGCAUCUUGGUAAAGUCAAUCAACAGCUGAUCCCAGACAAUAAUGGACCAGAAGGACGGGAACACGAAUCCCCGCUGCUCUCCUUACAGUCACUUGAACCAGGACGGCUGGAGACAGAUGGAUGGGCCUGUUGACACUAAUCCUCCGUAUGAGGGCUCUUGAGAGGAAGAUGAUCAGAGGGAGAAAUAGAAGAAGAGCAUGUGAUAGAAAGUGAUGGUGAGCUACAGAGACAUGGACUGAGAUACAAGGCCUGUUAUUGUCUGAGAGCUGGUGUCUGGCUGGCACAAUGAAGCAGAUCCACAUGGAGGCCGAUGAGGAAUCCAGGCUCAGGGCCCAGUCCUUUGUCUGUGGCAGGAAGCCAAUGCCAAUGUGGGGAGGGACAACAUAUCCUGAAACAGCCAACAGGACACUCUCACACACACCUGCAUUCAUCAUGUGUUCAUAUGGAUACCGCUGCAGUGAGGAACAUCCCAGCAUGCACCAGAGGGAUGCAUUUCACUUCAAAAUGUACAAAGAAUUUGACCCCCCUAGAGGCUCUGAAGUCCAGAGCACCCCCUCUCAGAAAAUAGUUCCUACAUCCCUGUACCCACACUAUAAAAAAAAAACUGUGGCAGCUGUGGUUGCCAGAACUUUACCAUAAUAAAUACACUGCAACUUUUUGUAAUAUUACGGCAAAAUGAUAUUAGCACUGUUGAUUACUAAUAAAUAGUAGCAAAUAAUAAAAGAGAAGAUGUUAUUACACGAAGAUGUUAUAACACUAAGAUGCAUGAGCAGAAAAAUCUCUAAAAAUGGUUCAGGUAAAAGCCAAGUUCAAAAGAUAAAUCUUAAGUUUGCUCUUAAAAAUCUGAUGCGUCUAUGAUGGCCUCAGGUCUUCAGGAGGCUGUUCCACCAACGUGGACCACAGUGAGAAAACGGCGCCUCACCGUGGGUUUUGGUUCAAGCUUUUGGUAUUAUUAAAAGGCCACUCCCAGAAGACCUGAGGGUUCAUAGGAUAAAAGUAAAUCAGAUAAAUUGGCUGGACUGAGACCAUUCAGAGAUUUAUAAACCAGUAAAAAAAUCUUAAAAUCGAAGAUCCACCCUGUCCAUAUAGCACAAUAAAUUCUUCCUAAAGCUAAAGCAUUUCGUCUUUGAAUUGUGUUUUUAUUUUCUUUUGCUCAAGAAUUUGACCUCCCAUUGCGUCUCCAGUGCUGUUUGUCCGGUGUCACUUUGACCUUUGACUUGGCCCUGCAUCCCCCCUUCUGCCUCUGACACCUGAGCCCAGAAACAAUCUUACACAAGGCUCUCUGGAAUGUCCGAUCACGAGCCUCUCAGGUCUCACUCACCUGAGGCCCGUGGUUUCUGCUUUGUGACAAACUGGAUCAAACUGGAUGAGAAACUAGGUUCAGUGGCGUUGUGUGUGGGAAGAAGCAUCAGUUACACUUGACACACUCUACAGCUCAGGGCGUUUAUGUGUGUGAUUGACAACAACGUGAGAGAAGGCAGCAGACAACGUGAGCUACAGAUGUAUGUCACCGGGCUAUGAUGUGUGUGUGCUUCGUGUCACCGGAUGGAGGUCACUCAUUAUCAAUGCAUGUGACUUGAAUUGAAAGCUUCAGCAGUGUGCCUGCUUGC